rnacentral:rRNA from 1 species
UGGCGGCGUGCCUAUACAUGCAAGUCGAGCGGACCGACGGGAGCUUGCUCCCUUAGGUCAGCGGCGGACGGGUGAGUAACACGUGGGUAACCUGCCUGUAAGACUGGGAUAACUCCGGGAAACCGGGGCUAAUACCGGAUGCUUGAUUGAACCGCAUGGUUCAAUCAUAAAAGGUGGCUUUUAGCUACCACUUACAGAUGGACCCGCGGCGCAUUAGCUAGUUGGUGAGGUAACGGCUCACCAAGGCGACGAUGCGUAGCCGACCUGAGAGGGUGAUCGGCCACACUGGGACUGAGACACGGCCCAGACUCCUACGGGAGGCAGCAGUAGGGAAUCUUCCGCAAUGGACGAAAGUCUGACGGAGCAACGCCGCGUGAGUGAUGAAGGUUUUCGGAUCGUAAAACUCUGUUGUUAGGGAAGAACAAGUACCGUUCGAAUAGGGCGGUACCUUGACGGUACCUAACCAGAAAGCCACGGCUAACUACGUGCCAGCAGCCGCGGUAAUACGUAGGUGGCAAGCGUUGUCCGGAAUUAUUGGGCGUAAAGCGCGCGCAGGCGGUUUCUUAAGUCUGAUGUGAAAGCCCCCGGCUCAACCGGGGAGGGUCAUUGGAAACUGGGGAACUUGAGUGCAGAAGAGGAGAGUGGAAUUCCACGUGUAGCGGUGAAAUGCGUAGAGAUGUGGAGGAACACCAGUGGCGAAGGCGACUCUCUGGUCUGUAACUGACGCUGAGGCGCGAAAGCGUGGGGAGCGAACAGGAUUAGAUACCCUGGUAGUCCACGCCGUAAACGAUGAGUGCUAAGUGUUAGAGGGUUUCCGCCCUUUAGUGCUGCAGCAAACGC